AUUUAUUAAGAAGGAAUAAAUGAGACUUCAGCAGCAGAAAGAGAAAAGCUGCUAUGUGGAAAGAGCAAAUUUUCAGUGUUGUUUUUUCUAGAUUGUCUUCAAAAUUUCUGCAUUGACAGCAGUGUCUUUUGUUCCUUCAUGUCUACAGUACAACACCCCAAGAGGACUUUUCAGAAUUUUACUUAGUGCAAAAAGUGUAGAGAUUUUCGACUCUAAAAUGUGAUGUUAUUUUUAAUUCCAGCAUUGAUUUUUUUUCAUUUUCAACAUUACAUUGAUUGAUAAAGAAUUGACAUUA